AAGUCGUAACAAGGUUUCCGUAGGUGAACCUGCGGAAGGAUCAUUAAAGAGUUAGGGUCCUAGUGGCCCAACCUCCAACCCUCUGUUGUUAAAACUACCUUGUUGCUUUGGCGGGACCGUUCGGUCUCCGAGCGCGUUAACCUUCGGGUUGGCGAGCGCCCGCCAGAGUCCACUCAAACUCUUGUUUUAACCGGUCGUCUGAGUUAAAUUUUUGAAUUAAAUCAAAA
rnacentral:misc_RNA from 1 species